GCAGAGCAUCCUACGGGAGGCAGCAGUGGGGGAAUAUUGCACAAUGGGCGCAAGCCUGAUGCAGCCAUGCCGCGUGUAUGAAGAAGGCUCGGGUUGUAAAGUACUUUCAGCAGUGAGGAAGGUGGAUAUGUUAAUAGCAUAUUCAUUUGACGUUAGCUGCAGAAGAAGCACCGGCUAACUCCGUGCCAGCAGCCGCGGUAAUACGGAGGGUGCGAGCGUUAAUCGGAAUUACUGGGCGUAAAGCGCAUGCAGGUGGUUUGUUAAGUCAGAUGUGAAAGCCCCGGGGCUCAACCUCGGAAUUGCAUUUGAAACUGGCAAACUAGAGUACUGUAGGAGGGGGUAGAAUUUCAGGUGUAGCGGUGAAAUGCGUAGAGAUCUGAAGGAAUACCGGUGGCGAAGGCCGGCCCCCUGGACAGAUACUGACACUCAGAUGCGAAAGCGUGGGGAGCAAACAGGAUUAUAUACCCUGGUAG
rnacentral:rRNA from 1 species